UACGUAGGGACCAAGCGUUGUCCGGAAUCAUUGGGCGUAAAGAGCGUGUAGGCGGCCUGUUAAGUCUUGCGUGAAAUCUCGGGGCUCAACCCCGAGCGGUCGUGAGAAACUGGCAGGCUAGAGUGCGGGAGAGGAGGAGUGGAAUUCCUGGUGUAGCGGUGAAAUGCGCAGAUAUCAGGAAGAACACCCGGUGGCGAAGGCGGCCAUCUCGUCGGAACUGUCAACGUGACGGCUGAGACGACGAAGCGUGGGGAGCAAACAGG
rnacentral:rRNA from 1 species